rnacentral:rRNA from 1 species
AAUACAUGCAAGUCGAGCGAACUGAUUGGAAGCUUGCUUCUAUGACAUUACUGGCGGACGGGUGAGUAACACGUGGGCAAUCGAUACUGUAAGACUGGGAUAACUUCGGGAAACCGAAGCUAAUACCGGAUAGGAUCUUCUCCUUCAUGGGAGAUGAUUGAAAGAUGGUUUCGGCUAUCACUUACAGAUGGGCCCGCGGUGCAUUAGCUAGUUGGUGAGGUAACGCGUCACCAAGGCAACGAUGCAUAGAUGACCUGAGAGGGUGAUCGGCCACACUGGGACUGAGACACGGCCCAGAGGCUACCUACGGGAGGCAGCAGUAGGGAAUCUUCCGCAAUGGACGAAAGUCUGACGGAGCAACGCCGCGUGAGUGAUGAAGGCUUUCGGGUCGUAAAACUCUGUUGUUAGGGAAGAACAAGUACGAGAGUAACUGCUCGUACCUUGAGGGUACCUAACCAGAAAGCCACGGCUAACUACCUAGCCAGCAGCCGCGGUAAUCGCGUAGCUGGCAAGCGUUAUCCGGAAUUAUUGGGCGCGAAAGCGCGCGCAGGCGGUUUCUUAAGUCUGAUGUGAAAGCUCCACGGCUCAACCGUGGAGGGUCAUUGGAAACUGGGGAACUUGAGUGCAGAAGAGAAAAGCGGAAUUCCACGUGUAGCGGUGAAAUGCGUAGAGAUGUGGAGGAACACCAGUGGCGAAGGCGGCUUUUUGGCGAUGUAACUGACGCUGAGGCGCGAAAGCGUGGGGAAUCAAACAGGAUUAGAUACCCUGGUAGUCCACGCCGUAAACGAUGAGUGCUCUGGUGUUAGAGGGUUUCCACUGCCUUUAGUGCUGCAGCUUACGCAUUAAGCACUCCGCCUGGGGAGUACGGUCGCAAGACUGAAACUCAAAGGAAUUGACGGGCGUCCCCGCACAAGCGGUGGAGCAUGUGGUUUAAUUCGAAGCAACGCGAAGAACCUUACCAGGUCUUGACAUCCUCAGGCACAACUCUAGAGAUAGAGCGUUCCCCUUCGGGGGACAGAGUGACAGGUGGUGCAUGGUUGUCGUCAGCUCGUGUCGUGAGAUGUUGGGUUAAGGGUACGCAACGAGCGCAACCCUUGAUCUUAGUUGCCAGCAUUUAGUUGGGCACUCUAAGGUGACUGCCGGUGACAAACCGGAGGAAGGUGGGCGGUAGACAUCGGUCAAAUCAUCUGCCCCUUAUGACCUGGGCUACACACGUGCUACAAUGGAUGGUACAAAGGGCUGCAAGACCGCGACAAGCCAAUCCCAUAAAACCAUUCUCAGUUCGGAUUGUAGGCUGCAACUCGCCUACAUGAAGCUGGAAUCGCUAGUAAUCGCGGAUCAGCAUGCCGCGGUGAAUACGUUCCCGGGCCUUGUACACACCGCCCGUCACACCACAUCGAGUUUGUAACACCCGAAGUCGGUGGAGUAACCGUAAGGAGCUAGCCGC